CAAAGGAAUAGGCACCACAAUAGAUACGGAUACGAGGCACAUACAUGUGUGGAUACAAUGUGACCAGUCAGGCCUGUCUUUCCUUCUGCUGCCGGGUCUUCCCCUACUAUAGACUACUUCUCUCCAAAAAGAUUUCUGCUCUCUGAAAAGAAUAGAAACUAUAUGAAGAUGCCCAAAAGAAUUACUGAAAUAGGAUGGCUGGAUUUGAUCUGCAGAUACAAGCAAAUGUGCAAAUGCAAUGGGAGCACGCACAAGGAAUCAACUACUCUUUCAUGAAGUCUUCAACAGCUUUCAGUAGGGGACCAUGAGUUAGACAGCUGCGUACCAUCUACCAUGUGAAGGUACCAUCUUGGAAGGAGAUACUCCAACUCCAACCAGCCUGCCACUGACUGCAGCCUAGGCACUGUCUUGACUAUCGUUUCCCCAGAGACCAAGCCAUAUCCACUCAGCUAAGCUGUUUCAAAAAUAUUAUCACAGAAACAGUGUGAAAUAAUAAAGCACUUGUUGCAAUUUUUAGCUGUUAAA